rnacentral:rRNA from 1 species
UACGUAGGCAGCGAGCGUUGUUCGGAAUUACUGGGCGUAAAGGGCGCGUAGGCGGUUAGAUGGGUGUGAUGUGAAAGCCCUGGGCUUAACCUAGGAAGUGCAUCGCAAACUAUCUAGCUGGAGUAUAAGAGAGGGUGGCGGAAUUUCCGGUGUAGCGGUGAAAUGCGUAGAGAUCGGGAAGGAACGUCGAUGGCGAAGGCAGCCACCUGGCUUAAUACUGACGCUGAGGCGCGAAAAGGCGUGGGGGAGC